AAGUGAUGCAUAUUUUGCACCCUCUGACAGCCAAAACAGUCCUUAGCUAACUGUUCAAUUUGUUGAUCAAUACUUGGCCACUAGACAGAUCCUCAAGCCAAUGUCUUUAUAUUGACUACAUCCAUGUGCCCUGCAUGCAAUUCCUCCAGGACCCUUGCCUGUAGUUUUGUAGGAAUGAUGGCACAAAUUCUCCACAUCAGACAACCUUGAACAAUUAUGAUUUCAUUCCUCUAGUGGAAGAAUAGCUUUAAGCUCUACACUGGUUCUGUCUUCCAGUCUUUUAAGACUUCCAGGAUGGAUGCCACUACAAAUACUAGUCGGUUAUACUGGAACAAGCCUUUUUCAAUGUUGAUGGAGAGGAAUUUUCUCAACCCUUCCUUUACUUCCAUUUGCAGCACAGAGAAGUUACUCCAGCCUAGAGCGGUCUUUAGCCCCAAUCUACCAAUAAGAUCAACACUGAUGGAGUGGUCCGUCUGCAGGAAGCUCAUUGCGGUAUUGGGACUUAAGUGCUUACAGUUGAGGAGACAGACUGUCCCCAAAAUCAGAAGUACAUUCCAUUCACCAACCAAGGAGUAAAAAAAAUCGGUAAGCACCUACACUUCCCCUCUGCACCAGGUUACAGAUAAUUUCAGCUGGAUCAAAUCCAUAGAAAUUAAAAUAUUUGAAAAGCUUUACAGGUGACUGCCAAAGGGGGAAAAAAGUCCAUUUUACAUCCUUCUGAUGUGUGAAAAAAGUCUGAAAAAGGUUAUGGGUUAAAAUUUUAUUUUUUUGCCUUUAAAAAAAAUUAAUCGGGUCUUAUCUUCCUUGUUUUUGCUGGAGGACUUUGAGAACCAGAGGACUGGGGAGCAGUUUGUCAAGAUUCUGAGUUGAAUUUAACGCUUGUUAACUAAAAUACACAAAUCCCUAAAGUUUUGAACUGCAAAUCUCUUCCCCUAUUAAAAUUGCUCAGGUUUUGAUUUCUUGUGAUGCUUUAUUUUCACUAGUUCUCUAGUCACCCAUAGACUCCUCUAGCAAAAACAAGAUAUGCAAAGUUAUCCUAUGUAAAAACAAGUUAAAUAUAAAUAUUCAGGCCUUCUUUAUUUUAUAUUUUCACCUUUGUAGGUCCCCUUCCGGGUGUGUGUGUGUCUCUCUCUCUCCCCCCCCCCAUACAUAUACAUAUAGGGGACCUACAAGGGCUUAAAACAAUGCACUUGUUUAUGAUGUAUAAAGAAGGUCUGGAUAUUUAUUUUUAACUUCCACUUGUUUUUACAUAUAUAUUCCAAGCAGAUGCAUGUUAUAGGUGCCAUACCUGCAAACUGCUCUGUGUGUGAAGAUCCAGAUGCUCCACCCACAUGGAAUGGCAAGACUUCUGUGUGGGUGAACGUGUGUGUCCAUGCAGAGUUCCACUGAGCAAUUUGCAGGAUCAGGGCUUAAAUACGUAUCCAAUCCUACUAACAGUUACUGUUGGGUUUAACACAGAGCUAGGCCAAUGCUGUGUUCUUCUGAAAAUCCCACCCAUAGUAUUUAACAAGUUAUCAGUGGAUGCUAAUGUAAUCAGUGGGCUGAGAACACUGUUGGGAGUCAGGAACGCCCGAGUUUUGAUUCUGGCUUCACCUAACUAAGGCCAUGUCUACACUACAAAAUUAUAUUGAUCUAACUUAAGUUGGCAUACCGACACCACAGUUAUUAUAUCGCUUGUGUCUCUGCACAGUUGGCUCAGUGUGUCAGCGUCCUUCCCAGGAGCACUUGUAUUGAUUGUAUUGUCAGUGUGGGGCGGCUCCUGAAACUAGUAAUAAUCCACAUAAGCAAGGCAGUGUCUCCUACAUUGACACUGCAUCAACCUAAUUACAUCAACUGUGACUCGAUGCCACUCAGGCAGGUGGUGUUACUACAUCAGCGUAGAGAGGCACUUACAUUAGCAGAAGCCAAAUUUAAGUGAAGACACUUCCACAGCGAGAUUGAUGCAAGGCAGCUUACGUCAACCUAACCCUGUAGCGUAGGCCAGACCUCACUCUGUGAUCUGUGCCAAGACAUUUAACUAGUGUGCUGAUCCACCUUGGGAGGUGAAGAGCACCCUCAACUCAGUACCAUGCAUCAUCAGGCCCCUCUUGCUAGACUUUCCUCCUAUUUGAACAGGAAAUAGUUCCAUACCUUGUAGGUAUUUUAAGGAUUAACUGGUAAUUUGUACAGGCCUUUGAAGAUGUAUACUGCUGUAGCAAGCCUAAACAGUACAAUCUUAUUACUAUACUACGGGCCCUUCCCUACCCCUAUUCUCUCCCACAAACCUGACUCAUUAUAUAGAACAUUAUUAGGCUCCAUUCCUGCAAGGUGAUCCCUUAUGCCCAUGCAUGAGCCCCUGGGAACAGAACCUUAGUUAGAAAGCUCUUUGGGGUACAGACUUUGUCUUUAUUAGUUCUGUGAAUCUGAGCACUUUUGGAAACUUUAACAAUAAAAUAAUGGUAGGGUAUACACAAACAGCAAAAAUAAGGACAUAAGGAUUCAAGUUCAGGUUAAUUUUUAAAUAUACAGAAAAAAAGUGUUCCUAAUUUUCAGGUUUUAGUCAAAAACUGUACCCUUAUUACAUUUAACAACAUCUAGGUAAGAUGCUUUGAAACAUGCUUUGACGAUUUAGAGUGCUAUGCAACUGCCAAGUAUUUUUAUUUCUAUUAUUUUGGAAGGUGUCUGAAUUACUGUAAUGAUUAUAAAGUUCCAGUUCAAAAGCC